UGGGGAAUAUUGCGCAAUGGGGGAAACCCUGACGCAGCAACGCCGCGUGAAGGAAGAAGGUCUUCGGAUUGUAAACUUUUGUCUUUGGUGACGAAAAAAAUGACGGUAGCCAAGGAGGAAGCCACGGCUAACUACGUGCCAGCAGCCGCGGUAAUACGUAGGUGGCAAGCGUUGUCCGGAUUUACUGGGUGUAAAGGGCGUGUAGACGGGUUAUUAAGUCAGGUGUGAAAUCCCACAGCUUAACUGUGGAACUGCAUCUGAAACUAAUAAUCUUGAGUGUGGGAGAGGAAAGCGGAAUUCCUAGUGUAGCGGUGAAAUGCGUAGAUAUUAGGAGGAACACCAGUGGCGAAGGCGGCUUUCUGGACCAUAACUGACGUUGAGGCGCGAAAGCGUGGGGAGCAAACA
rnacentral:rRNA from 1 species